AGAGUUUGAUCAUGGCUCAGAUCCGAACGCUGGCGGCAGGCCUAACACAUGCAAGUCGAACGGUAACAGGAAGAAGCUUGCUUCUUUGCUGACGAGUGGCGGACGGGUGAGUAAUGUCUGGGAAACUGCCUGAUGGAGGGGGAUAACUACUGGAAACGGUAGCUAAUACCGCAUAACGUCGCAAGACCAAAGAGGGGGACCUUCGGGCCUCUUGCCAUCGGAUGUGCCCAGAUGGGAUUAGCUAGUAGGUGGGGUAACGGCUCACCUAGGCGACGAUCCCUAGCUGGUCUGAGAGGAUGACCAGCCACACUGGAACUGAGACACGGUCCAGACUCCUACGGGAGGCAGCGGUGGGGAAUAUUGCACAAUGGGCGCAAGCCUGAUGCAGCCAUGCCGCGUGUAUGAAGAAGGCCUUCGGGUUGUAAAGUACUUUCAGCGGGGAGGAAGGGAGUAAAGUUAAUACCUUUGCUCAUUGACGUUACCCGCAGAAGAAGCACCGGCUAACUCCGUGCCAGCAGCCGCGGUAAUACGGAGGGUGCAAGCGUUAAUCGGAAUUACUGGGCGUAAAGCGCACGCAGGCGGUUUGUUAAGUCAGAUGUGAAAUCCCCGGGCUCAACCUGGGAACUGCAUCUGAUACUGGCAAGCUUGAGUCUCGUAGAGGGGGGUAGAAUUCCAGGUGUAGCGGUGAAAUGCGUAGAGAUCUGGAGGAAUACCGGUGGCGAAGGCGGCCCCUGGACGAAGACUGACGCUCAGGUGCGAAGCGUGGGGAGCAACAGGAUUAGAUACCCUGGUAGUCCACGCCGUAAACGAUGUCGACUUGGAGGUUGUGCCCUUGAGGCGUGGCUUCCGGAGCUAACGCGUUAAGUCGACCGCCUGGGGAGUACGGCCGCAAGGUUAAAACUCAAAUGAAUUGACGGGGGCCCGCACAAGCGGUGGAGCAUGUGGUUUAAUUCGAUGCAACGCGAAGAACCUUACCUGGUCUUGACAUCCACGGAAGUUUUCAGAGAUGAGAAUGUGCCUUCGGGAACCGUGAGACAGGUGCUGCAUGGCUGUCGUCAGCUCGUGUUGUGAAAUGUUGGGUUAAGUCCCGCAACGAGCGCAACCCUUAUCCUUUGUUGCCAGCGGUCCGGCCGGGAACUCAAAGGAGACUGCCAGUGAUAAACUGGAGGAAGGUGGGGAUGACGUCAAGUCAUCAUGGCCCUUACGACCAGGGCUACACACGUGCUACAAUGGCGCAUACAAAGAGAAGCGACCUCGCGAGAGCAAGCGGACCUCAUAAAGUGCGUCGUAGUCCGGAUUGGAGUCUGCAACUCGACUCCAUGAAGUCGGAAUCGCUAGUAAUCGUGGAUCAGAAUGCCACGGUGAAUACGUUCCCGGGCCUUGUACACACCGCCCGUCACACCAUGGGAGUGGGUUGCAAAAGAAGUAGGUAGCUUAACCUUCGGGAGGGCGCUUACCACUUUGUGAUUCAUGACUGGGGUGAAGUCGUAACAAGGUAACCGUA
rnacentral:rRNA from 1 species